AUGAACAAGAGCUCGACAGUGCCUAUUCGUUGCUCCCAGGAAGAGAUACAGUGGGUGUCGCAUAGCCUUGGGUGCUCGACCUCGAUGUUUCCCUGCAAGUAUUUGGGCAUUCCACUCACGAUCAGAAAGGCUUCGGCAGCUCAACUCCAGGGACUGUUGGACCGUGUGGCCGAUUGCCUCCCACUUUGGAAGGCGGCAAUGCUGCCUAAGAGUGGCCGCUUGUUGCUCAUACAAUCCGUGCUGUGUGCCAUUCCUAUCCACACUAUGAUGGCUUUGGAUCUUCCUGCAAGAACGCUGGCGGCGCUAGUCAAGAUAUGCAGGAAUUUCCUUUGGUGCGGUAAGAAGGAGGCCAAUGGCGGCAGCUGCUCGGUUGCCUGGGAGGAAGUUUGCACGCCCAAGUGGGCAGGUGGGCUAGGGUUACCAAAUCUGCCUUGGUUUAACAAGGCCCUUCGGGCGCGCUGGGCCUGGCUGAGAAAAGCAGAUAAGGAAAGACCUUGGACCGGCUUUCAGAUUACUAUACCAACGGAAUCUCAGGCACUGGUGGAUGCUGCUGCCCGGACGACAGUUGGUGAUGGGAAAGCGACUCUGUUUUGGGAGGAUAGAUGGAUCAUGGGCGAGCGAGUUAGAGAUAUUGCACCGAGCAUAUACAUUCGGGUCCCGAAGCGGGUGCGACAAUCUGAAUUGGUAGCGGAUGCGUUGAGAGAUGGCAGUUGGGCAUGGCAUGUUGGCACUGAACUGUCACCGGAGGCACUUGAUCAAUAUCUCCUUCUGUGGACUUGUGUCUCAUCCAUUACACUCGAUGACGAUAGUCAAGACUCUGUGACCUGGACUUGGGAGCAAUGGUUGUUUUUUGACUCGCUCAGCUUAUGCGGCAAGGUUCUCCGGGCGGCAGGUUUCGCCAACUGCAGACUUCACCUGGCAAUCCAAGGCACCGCUUAG
rnacentral:rRNA from 1 species